rnacentral:rRNA from 1 species
UAGCUACAGGCUUAACACAUGCAAGUCGAGGGGCAGCAUGGUCUUAGCUUGCUAAGGCCGAUGGCGACCGGCGCACGGGUGAGUAACACGUAUCCAACCUGCCGUCUACUCUUGGACAGCCUUCUGAAAGGAAGAUUAAUACAAGAUGGCAUCAUGAGUCCGCAUGUUCACAUGAUUAAAGGUAUUCCGGUAGACGAUGGGGAUGCGUUCCAUUAGAUAGUAGGCGGGGUAACGGCCCACCUAGUCUUCGAUGGAUAGGGGUUCUGAGAGGAAGGUCCCCCACAUUGGAACUGAGACACGGUCCAAACUCCUACGGGAGGCAGCAGUGAGGAAUAUUGGUCAAUGGGCGAGAGCCUGAACCAGCCAAGUAGCGUGAAGGAUGACUGCCCUAUGGGUUGUAAACUUCUUUUAUAAAGGAAUGAAGUCGGGUAUGGAUACCCGUUUGCAUGUACUUUAUGAAUAAGGAUCGGCUAACUCCGUGCCAGCAGCCGCGGUAAUACGGAGGAUCCGAGCGUUAUCCGGAUUUAUUGGGUUUAAAGGGAGCGUAGAUGGAUGUUUAAGUCAGUUGUGAAAGUUUGCGGCUCAACCGUAAAAUUGCAGUUGAUACUGGAUAUCUUGAGUGCAGUUGAGGCAGGCGGAAUUCGUGGUGUAGCGGUGAAAUGCUUAGAUAUCACGAAGAACUCCGAUUGCGAAGGCAGCCUGCUAAGCUGCAACUGACAUUGAGGCUUGAAAGUGUGGGUAUCAAACAGGAUUAGAUACCCUGGUAGUCCACACGGUAAACGAUGAAUACUCGCUGUUUGCGAUAUACAGCAAGCGGCCAAGCGAAAGCGUUAAGUAUUCCACCUGGGGAGUACGCCGGCAACGGUGAAACUCAAAGGAAUUGACGGGGGCCCGCACAAGCGGAGGAACAUGUGGUUUAAUUCGAUGAUACGCGAGGAACCUUACCCGGGCUUAAAUUGCAGAUGAAUUACGGUGAAGGCCGUAAGCCGCAAGGCAUCUGUGAAGGUGCUGCAUGGUUGUCGUCAGCUCGUGCCGUGAGGUGUCGGCUUAAGUGCCAUAACGAGCGCAACCCUUGUUGUCAGUUACUAACAGGUUCCGCUGAGGACUCUGACAAGACUGCCAUCGUAAGAUGUGAGGAAGGUGGGGAUGACGUCAAAUCAGCACGGCCCUUACGUCCGGGGCUACACACGUGUUACAAUGGGGGGUACAGAGGGCCGCUACCACGCGAGUGGAUGCCAAUCCCCAAAACCUCUCUCAGUUCGGACUGGAGUCUGCAACCCGACUCCACGAAGCUGGAUUCGCUAGUAAUCGCGCAUCAGCCACGGCGCGGUGAAUACGUUCCCGGGCCUUGUACACACCGCCCGUCAAGCCAUGGGAGCCGGGGGUACCUGAAGUGCGUAACCGCGAGGAGCGCCCUAGGGUAAAACUGGUGACUGGGGCUAAGUCAUAACA